rnacentral:rRNA from 1 species
GACGUAGGAGGCGAGCGUUAUCCGGAUUCACUGGGCGUAAAGCGCAUGUAGGCGGAUGUCUAAGUCGUGUGUUAAAGCCCCUGGCUCAACUGGGGGAGGUCAUGCGAGACUGGAUGACUUGAGGGCAACAGAGGCACGUGGAACUCCCGGUGUAGCGGUGGAAUGCGUAGAGAUCGGGAAGAACACCCGUGGCGAAGGCGGCGUGCUGGGUUGCAACUGACGCUGAGAUGCGAAAGUGUGGGGAGCAACGGGG